UGUGUGUGUGUGUGUGUGUGUGUGUGUGUGUGUGUGUGUGUGUGUGUGUGUGUGCAGCGGCGGAAGGAUAUGGGCUAGAGGGGCCAGCUGAGUUUUCAAAACUUUCACAGGAGACCGAAAUAGCCCCGAGAGUAUAGUGAUCAGUGGGAAGAGGGAAGAGAACAAGAAAGAGAGGGGGAAAAAAUCUGCAAAAGACUGAUGACCCCGGACAUAGUGAAUAAUCGGAAGCCGCGGAGUGAGGAGGGAAGGAGGGACAGAGCGAGGGAGGCUUCAUAGAUCGAUAUCAAGGCUAUAUAUGGACCGAUUUAAUUCGAAAAAAAGACCCAAUAGUGAUUAUGGGACAUCUAGGAGUGCCAACAAAGAAGAUGGUCAAAGCCAGCACUUUCAGCCAGAGGAUUUCGAAAUGGAACUGAAGUCUCAACUGAUGGGGUUGCCAUGUUGUGGAACAUUGAAAAGUGAUGCUAUUCCAAUGAUUUUCCCCUUCACUUCAAAGAGGAAGGCAUCCGAUCAGCCAACAUCAGCGCAGCAGAAAAAAGGACAAGCUGAGAGUUCGAUCCUAUCAACAUCUGCAGAUGCAGGAACACAAAGCUCAGUACCAGGAACUAGUGAAGGGUGCGUCACUUGAGUGGGUUGAGUCACUGACGUGAUCUUCCUGUCCAGGUUGGCGCCCCCCCUUGGGUUGUGCCGUGACGGAGAUCUUUGUGGGCUAUACUCGGGCUUGUCUCCGUAUGACCUGAGUCCUAGGAUCAUGCCUCAGGACUACCUUGCAUGAUGACUCCUUGCUGUCCGCAGUCCACCUGGUCGUGCUGCUGCUCCAGUUUUAACUGUUCUGCCUGUGGCUAUGGAACCCUGACCUGUUCAUCGGACGUGCUACCUGUCCCAGACCUGCUGUUUUCAACUCUCUAGAGACAGCAGGAGCGGUAGAGAUACUCUUAAUGAUCAGCUAUGAAAAGCCAACUGACAUUUACUCCUGAGGUGCUGACUUGUUGCACCCUCGACAAUAACUGUGACUAUUAUUAUUUGACCAUGCUGGUAAUUUAUGAACAUUUGAACAUCGAGGCUAUGUUCUGUUAUAAUCUCCACCCGGCACAGCCAGAAGAGGACUGGCCACCCCUCAUAGCCUGGUUCCUCUCUAGGUUUCGUCCUAGGUUUUAGCCUUUCUAGGGAGUUUUUCCUAGCCACCGUGCUUCUACACCUGCAUUGCUUGCAGUUUGGGGUUUUAGGCUGGGUUUUUGUACAGCACUUUGAGAUAUCAGCUGAUGUAAGAAGGGCUAUAUGAAUAAAUGUGAUUUGAUUUGGCUACAACAUCUGCUAUAGUUUUCUCUAUAUUAUGGAGGCUUAGUUGAUAGUUCAUUCAAGGCUUGAAAUCUAAAUUGAAGAACCUGCCUGGAACAUUCAACCAACACAACAUCCAUAUUCAAUUAGAGUGAUGUUGUAGUAUGAUAUAGAAUGCCUAGUAUGCUCACAACUGCAUUGUGAUAUAGAUAUGGCUUGCUCUUGUACAGUAGAUAUUUAUAUAAUGGAGUUUUGUCAAAUGUUUUUUAUAAUAUGUUUUACAAGAGUACUGACAAGUGACUAAAUGAUUCCAGCUGCAUCAGAAACCAAUAAAGUGUUAACUUCUUGAUAAAUGCAUUGUGAUAUUCAUUACAUGUAUUUGGAUAAACUAGCUUUAGUCUUAUGGCUAAAACAAAUGAUGCAGGAGUAGGUUUAUCAUUUAAACGAUAAUUUGUUGGCAAGUAAACAUGUUUUAAUAAAACAGGAGUUUAGUCUGUUAAUAUAGCAAAUAAGUAUCUUGUAUUCAAUACAAAAUAUAUUUGCUCUGGAGACGGAUGUGAGUUUACGCUUAUAAUAAA